rnacentral:rRNA from 1 species
CCCAGACUCCUACGGGAGGCAGCAGUGAGGAAUAUUGGUCAAUGGGCGAGAGCCUGAACCAGCCAAGUCGCGUGAGGGAUGACUGCCCUAUGGGUUGUAAACCUCUUUUGUAUGGGGGGAAUAAGCUUUACGAGUAGAGUGAUGACAGUACCAUACGAAUAAGCAUCGGCUAACUCCGUGCCAGCAGCCGCGGUAAUACGGAGGAUGCGAGCGUUAUCCGGAUUUAUUGGGUUUAAAGGGUGCGUAGGCGGGCUUUUAAGUCAGCGGUAAAAAUUCGGGGCUCAACCCCGUCCGGCCGUUGAAACUGGGGGCCUUGAGUGGGCGAGAAGUACGCGGAAUGCGCGGUGUAGCGGUGAAAUGCAUAGAUAUCGCGCAGAACUCCGAUUGCGAAGGCAGCGUACCGGCGCCAGACUGACGCUGAGGCACGAAAGCGUGGGGAUCGAACAGGAUUAGAUACCCCAGUA